AGUGAACGCUGGCGGUAGGCCUAACACAUGCAAGUCGAACGGCAGCACAGUAAGAGCUUGCUCUUACGGGUGGCGAGUGGCGGACGGGUGAGGAAUACAUCGGAAUCUACUUUUUCGUGGGGGAUAACGUAGGGAAACUUACGCUAAUACCGCAUACGACCUACGGGUGAAAGCAGGGGAACUUCGGACCUUGCGCGAUUGAAUGAGCCGAUGUCGGAUUAGCUAGUUGGCGGGGUAAAGGCCCACUAAGGCGACGAUCCGUAGCUGGUCUGAGAGGAUGAUCAGCCACACUGGAACUGAGACACGGUCCAGACUCCUACGGGAGGCAGCAGUGGGGAAUAUUGGACAAUGGGCGCAAGCCUGAUCCAGCCAUACCGCGUGGGUGAAGAAGGCCUUCGGGUUGUAAAGCCCUUUUGUUGGGAAAGAAAAGCAGCAGGUUAAUACCCCGCUGUUCUGACGGUACCCAAAGAAUAAGCACCGGCUAACUUCGUG
rnacentral:rRNA from 1 species